ensembl:lncRNA
GGAGAGAGAGAGAGGGAGAAAGAGGAAGAGAGUGAGAGAGUGAGAGAUAGAGAGAGAGAGAGAGAGAAGAGGAGGAAGAGGAAGGGAUUCUGCGUGUCACUGCCUGGAUCACAAUAGAUUCCUAGAAGCUUCGCUCCAGUGAUGUGUGCCAACGGUUAAGAUGGAGAUUGACACUCUGGAGUGUGCGGCACGCCACUUGGAUGUCCCCUGCCGUCUCAGACCAGCUCUGCACCGCAGCAGUCACGGAGUACCUCAGGGUCAACAUGCGCAAUUACACAAAACAACAACACAACAACAAAAAACACUAGUAGAACAAAAUUCUUAAUCAUACACAUUUCUUGCUCUGCCCCUAACAGAACAAAAAUAUUCCCAUUAUAAAUCCGUAUUUGCAUUGGUAUAAAGCUCUCACAUUAGACUGAGGAGGAGCAGGCCGUCUCCAGAAAUACCUGGUGGCGGUGGCGGUGGUGG